rnacentral:rRNA from 1 species
CCUACGGGUGGCAGCAGUCGAGAAUCAUUCACAAUGGGGGAAACCCUGAUGGUGCGACGCCGCGUGAAGGAAGAAGGCUUUCGGGUUGUAAACUUCUUUUGACAGGGAAGAGCAGAAGACGGUACCUGUCGAAUAAGCCACGGCUAACUACGUGCCAGCAGCCGCGGUAAUACGUAGGUGGCAAGCGUUGUCCGGAUUUACUGGGUGUAAAGGGCGUGUAGCCGGGCUGACAAGUCAGAUGUGAAAUCCGGGGGCUCAACCCCCGAACUGCAUUUGAAACUGUUGGUCUUGAGUAUCGGAGAGGCAGGCGGAAUUCCUAGUGUAGCGGUGAAAUGCGUAGAUAUUAGGAGGAACACCAGUGGCGAAGGCGGCCUGCUGGACGACAACUGACGGUGAGGCGCGAAAGCGUGGGGAGCAAACAGGAUUAGAUACCCCUGUAGUC